rnacentral:rRNA from 1 species
GAUGAACGCUGGCGGCGUGUCUAAGGCAUGCAAGUCGAACGGACUGUUAUUUGUAGCAAUACUUAGAACAGUUAGUGGCAAACGGGUGCGUAACACAUUGGUAACCUGCCUCAAAGUCGGGCAUAAUCCCGCGAAAGUGGGACUAAUUCCACGAUGGUCAUCGAAGGUGAGAUUCCUUCGAUGUAAAGUCGCAAGACGCUUUGAGAGGGGCCGAUGGCCUAUCAGCUUGUUGGUGAGGUAACGGCUCACCAAGGCUAUGACGGGUAGGGGGUGUGAGAGCACGACCCCCCUCACUGGGACUGAGACACUGCCCAGACACCUACGGGUGGCUGCAGUCGAGAAUAUUCCCCAAUGGCCGAAGGGCUGAGGGAGCGACGCCGCGUGCAGGAAUAAGGCC